GAUGAACGCUGGCGGCGUGCCUAAUACAUGCAAGUCGAGCGAACAGACGAGGAGCUUGCUCCUCUGACGUUAGCGGCGGACGGGUGAGUAACACGUGGAUAACCUACCUAUAAGACUGGGAUAACUUCGGGAAACCGGAGCUAAUACCGGAUAAUAUAUUGAACCGCAUGGUUCAAUAGUGAAAGACGGUUUUGCUGUCACUUAUAGAUGGAUCCGCGCCGGAUUAGCUAGUUGGUAAGGUAACGGCCUACCAAGGCUACGAUGCGUAGCCGACCUGAGAGGGUGAUCGGCCACACUGGAACUGAGACACGGUCCAGACUCCUACGGGAGGCAGCAGUAGGGAAUCUUCCGCAAUGGGCGAAAGCCUGACGGAGCAACGCCGCGUGAGUGAUGAAGGUCUUCGGAUCGUAAAACUCUGUUAUUAGGGAAGAACAAAUGUGUAAGAAACUAUGCACGUCUUGACGGUACCUAAUCAGAAAGCCACGGCUAACUACGUG
rnacentral:rRNA from 1 species